rnacentral:rRNA from 1 species
ACGAACGCUGGCGGCGUGCCUAAUACAUGCCAGUCGAACGCUUCUUUCCUCCCGAGUGCUUGCACUCAAUUGGAAAGAGGAGUGGCGGACGGGUGAGUAACACGUGGGUAACCUACCCAUCAGAGGGGGAUAACACUUGGAAACAGGUGCUAAUACCGCAUAACAGUUUAUGCCGCAUGGCAUAAGAGUGAAAGGCGCUUUCGGGUGUCGUUGAUGGAUGGACCCGCGGUGCAUUAGCUAGUUGGUGAGGUAACGGCUCACCAAGGCCACGAUGCAUAGCCGACCUGAGAGGGUGAUCGGCCACACUGGGACUGAGACACGGCCCAGACUCCUACGGGAGGCAGCAGUAGGGAAUCUUCGGCAAUGGACGAAAGUCUGACCGAGCAACGCCGCGUGAGUGAAGAAGGUUUUCGGAUCGUAAAACUCUGUUGUUAGAGAAGAACAAGGACGUUAGUAACUGAACGUCCCCUGACGGCAUCUAACCAGAAAGCCACGGCUAACUACGUG